rnacentral:lncRNA from 1 species
GUUUUUUUCCAUUUUGUCAAAAUAAGUCAAGAAAAAUCUCUGAUAUACUAUUCACUUGCAGGUGAAUAAUUCUACCUUAGUGAAUCCUUAUUCAUUUGACCUUCAAGUUAACCCUAGAUAUGGGAUACGCAUGCAUUGUGCGUGUUCGGUUAUUAAAAGGAAAAGCAUGUCAAUAUUGGUAGUGAAACCAGGGCAAAAUAUUUGAUUGGCCGAUUAUCCACAUAGACAUACAUUUAAACUUGUAAUAUAAAAUUAAAAAAAGAAACAGAAAAACCCAAUUGCACGAGUUCGCUAUUUGUUCAUACCUAUAUUUUUGUUUGAACGGGUUAUAUAACUGAUGGAAGGCUUCGAAGGUCACCUCGAUGGUAAAUUAGAUGGUGACUAGACUAAAUUACACACGAAAUGCACAUACAUAUAACGAGCC